AGAGAGGUGUCCGAGUUGGCUGAAGGAGCUCGCCUGCUAAGUGAGUAUACGGCUAAAACUGUAUCGAGGGUUCAAAUCCCUUCCUCUCUGCCA
rnacentral:tRNA from 1 species